UACGGAGGGUGCGAGCGUUAAUCGGAAUUACUGGGCGUAAAGCGUGCGUAGGCGGCAUGGUUAGUCGGAUGUGAAAGCCCCGGGCUUAACCCGGGAAUUGCAUUCGAUACUGCCAAGCUAGAGUAUGUUAGAGGAAAGUGGAAUUCCCGGUGUAGCGGUGAAAUGCGUAGAUAUCGGGAGGAACAUCAGUGGCGAAGGCGACUUUCUGGAACAAUACUGACGCUGAGGCACGAAAGCGUGGGGAGCAAACAGG
rnacentral:rRNA from 1 species